rnacentral:sRNA from 1 species
CGGGAUGGCAGAGGAGGUGAGGAGGGAGGAAGCGUCCGGAGUGGGGCGGGCCCGGACUCCGACCCCCGGGGCGCUUCGAGCCCCCUAGCUGGUCACCGAGGCACCGCCGCUUCACCCAGGCCGGUAGCCGCCCCCUCGCGCACCCCGGCCCCGCCUCACACGCGCGCCCGAGCGAGCCCCGGGCUCCCCUCGGGCCCAGCGCGGCGCAGGGGUCAGUGGUUCUCUCGGGUCUCGGGACAGGUGAGCACCCUGAUGAAGGCCACGGUCCUGAUGCGGCAGCCUGGGCGGGUGCAGGAGAUCGUGGGCGCCCUCCGCAAGGGCGGCGGAGACCGGUUACAGGUGAUUUCUGAUUUUGACAUGACCUUGAGCAGGUUUGCAUAUAAUGGAAAACGAUGCCCUUCUUCUUACAAUAUUCUGGAUAAUAGCAAGAUCAUCAGUGAGGAGUGUCGGAAAGAGCUCACAGCGCUCCUUCACCACUAUUACCCAAUUGAGAUCGACCCACACCGGACCGUCAAGGAGAAGCUACCUCAUAUGGUGGAAUGGUGGACCAAAGCGCACAAUCUCCUAUGUCAGCAGAAGAUUCAGAAGUUUCAGAUAGCCCAGGUGGUUAGAGAGUCCAAUGCAAUGCUCAGGGUUUUCUCCAGGGAUUUAAGGGCCAGCUCAUACACACAUACAACAAGAACAGCUCUGCGUGUGAGAACUCUGGUUACUUCCAGCAACUUGAGGGCAAAACCAAUGUCAUCCUGCUGGGAGACUCUAUCGGGGACCUCACCAUGGCCGAUGGGGUUCCUGGUGUGCAGAACAUUCUCAAAAUUGGCUUCCUGAAUGACAAGGUGGAGGAGCGGCGGGAGCGCUACAUGGACUCCUAUGACAUCGUGCUGGAGAAGGACGAGACUCUGGAUGUGGUCAACGGGCUACUGCAGCACAUCCUGUGCCAGGGGGUCCAGCUGGAGAUGCAAGGUCCCUGAAGGCGCAGGCUCCAGCCCGGCCUGCAGGCCGUGGUGAGGAGGGGCGCCUCCCCAGAGUCCGCUCCCCCGUGAACACAGAGCAGAGGCCAGGGUGGCCAGCAGUGGCUGGGUCCUUCCGCGCCCCUCCGUCCUCCUUUCCCUGAGCACCUUCAUCACCAGAGGCUUGAAGGAACCCCGCCAUGUGGCAGGGCACAGGCACUGUUCCUGGUGAACCUUGGACCACAGCAUGUCAGUGCUCUAGGGAUUGUCUACUCCAGGGAUUUUCUUCAAAAUUUUUAAACAUGG